rnacentral:rRNA from 1 species
AUUGAACGCUGGCGGCAGGCCUAACACAUGCAAGUCGAGCGGCAGCGGGAAAGUAGCUUGCUACUUUUGCCGGCGAGCGGCGGACGGGUGAGUAAUGCCUGGGGAUCUGCCCAGUCGAGGGGGAUAACAGUUGGAAACGACUGCUAAUACCGCAUACGCCCUACGGGGGAAAGGAGGGGGACCUUCGGGCCUUUCGCGAUUGGAUGAACCCAGGUGGGAUUAGCUAGUUGGUGGGGUAAUGGCUCACCAAGGCGACGAUCCCUAGCUGGUCUGAGAGGAUGAUCAGCCACACUGGGGCUGAGACACGGCCCAGACUCCUACGGGAGGCAGCAGUGGGGAAUUUUGGACAAUGGGCGCAAGCCUGAUCCAGCAAUGCCGCGUGCAGGAAGAAGGCCUUCGGGUGUAAACUGCUUUGUACGGAACGAAAAGGUCUGGGUUAAUACCCUGGCUCAUGACGGUACCGUAAGAAUAAGCACCGGCUAACUACGU